rnacentral:rRNA from 1 species
UGACCUCGGAUCAGGUAGGGAUACCCGCUGAACUUAAGCAUAUCAAUAAGCGGAGGAAAAGAAACCAACAGGGAUUGCCCUAGUAACGGCGAGUGAAGCGGCAACAGCUCAAAUUUGAAAGCUAGCCUUCGGGUUCGCAUUGUAAUUUGUAGAGGAUGAUUUGGGGAAGCCGCCUGUCUAAGUUCCUUGGAACAGGACGUCAUAGAGGGUGAGAAUCCCGUAUGUGACAGGAAAUGGCACCCUAUGUAAAUCUCCUUCGACGAGUCGAGUUGUUUGGGAAUGCAGCUCUAAAUGGGAGGUAAAUUUCUUCUAAAGCUAAAUAUUGGCGAGAGACCGAUAGCGCACAAGUAGAGUGAUCGAAAGAUGAAAAGCACUUUGGAAAGAGAGUUAAAAAGCACGUGAAAUUGUUGAAAGGGAAGCGCUUGCAAUCAGACUUGUUUAAACUGUUCGGCCGGUCUUCUGACCGGUUUACUCAGUUUGGACAGGCCAGCAUCAGUUUCGGCGGCCGGAUAAAGGCUCUGGGAAUGUGGCCUCCACUUCGGUGGAGGUGUUAUAGCCCAGGGUGUAAUACGGCCAGCCGGGACUGAGGUCCGCGCUCGGCU